UUUAAAUAUCCGACAUAUCAGAUAUUGGGCGUAAGAGCUCGUAGGCGGUUUGUCGCGUCUGCUGUGAAAGACCGGGGCUCAACUCCGGUUCUGCAGUGGGUACGGGCAGACUAGAGUGCAGUAGGGGAGACUGGAAUUCCUGGUGUAGCGGUGAAAUGCGCAGAUAUCAGGAGGAACACCGAUGGCGAAGGCAGGUCUCUGGGCUGUAACUGACGCUGAGGAGCGAAAGCAUGGGGAGCGAACAGGAUUAGAUACCCUGGUAGUCCAUGCCGUAAACGUUGGGCACUAGGUGUGGGGGACAUUCCACGUUUUCCGCGCCGUAGCUAACGCAUUAAGUGCCCCGCCUGGGGAGUACGGCCGCAAGGCUAAAACUCAAAGGAAUUGACGGGGGCCCGCACAAGCGGCGGAGCAUGCGGAUUAAUUCGAUGCAACGCGAAGAACCUUACCAAGGCUUGACAUGAACCGGUAAUACCUGGAAACAGGUGCCCCGCUUGCGGUCGGUUUACAGGUGGUGCAUGGUUGUCGUCAGCUCGUGUCGUGAGAUGUUGGGUUAAGUCCCGCAACGAGCGCAACCCUCGUUCUAUGUUGCCAGCGGUUCGGCCGGGGACUCAUAGGAGACUGCCGGGGUCAACUCGGAGGAAGGUGGGGACGACGUCAAAUCAUCAUGCCCCUUAUGUCUUGGGCUUCACGCAUGCUACAAUGGCCGGUACAAAGGGUUGCGAUACUGUGAGGUGGAGCUAAUCCCAAAAAGCCGGUCUCAGUUCGGAUUGGGGUCUGCAACUCGACCCCAUGAAGUCGGAGUCGCUAGUAAUCGCAGAUCAGCAACGCUGCGGUGAAUACGUUCCCGGGUCUUGUACACACCGCCCGUCAAGUCACGAAAGUUGGUAACACCCGAAGCCGGUGGCCUAACCCUUGUGGGGGGAGCCGUCGAAAGUGGGACCGGCGAUUGGGACUAAGUCGUACCAAAGGUAAACUCA
rnacentral:rRNA from 1 species